UGUUUUAGUGUUCCUUUGAUGAGUUUGGCUUGUUGUUAUGAAAAGUGUUUGUUUUGGCGAGUUUGAACGUUUUUGAGCAUGUGUGAUGGCAUGAAUGCGUUAAGCUGUUGUUUUAGUGUUCUUUUGAUGAGUUUGGCUUGUUGUUAUGAAAAGUGUUUGUUUUGGCGAGUUUGAAGGUUUUUGAGCAUGUGUAAUGGCAUGAAUGCGUUAAGCUGUUGUUUUAGUGUUCUUAUGAUGACUUUGGCUUGUUGUUAUGAACAUUGUUCGU